UACGAAGGGGGCGAGCGUUGUUCGGAAUUACUGGGCGUAAAGGGCGCGCAGGCGGCUCUGAAAGUCAGAUGUGAAAGCCCCGGGCUUAACCUGGGAACUGCAUUUGAUACUCUAGAGCUUGAGUACGGGAGAGGAGAGUGGAAUUCCCAGUGUAGAGGUGAAAUUCGUAGAUAUUGGGAAGAACACCGGUGGCGAAGGCGGCUCUCUGGGCCUUACCUGACGCUGAGGAGCGAAAGCGUGGGUAGCGAACAGG
rnacentral:rRNA from 1 species